UCAUUGUUUAUAGCGAACGCAUGUGCGCACGACUUUGUCUUGAGGAACAACGACACGCGCGUGGAGAUGUUUGGUUGCUUGAGAAUUAUCUUCUGGAAGCACUAUAAAAUAAUGACUGCUACAUACAUAUUUCUGAAAAGGAUGUAAAGACAUUUAGAAAUCUGAAUAGGUGACAUUUAAACCAGUUUUUUCCUUGACCAACCUUUUCUUUGGAGGGUCACGUGACUCUGACAGCUGGAUGGCUUGCACAGCGCCAAGCAGUGCUGACCUCAGGUUCACAUCAUGCAGACUGCUUACUUGUUAUCGUCUCAUUGCUGUUGUGCUUUUUACGCUGAAAUGGACACAGCAUGCGACAACUCAACAUCAUUGUGUGGACAUCAGGUUCCUCAAUCACCAGAAUGAUGUCAUUCAUUCCAUCGUCAAUCAUUACAUCAACAUCACGUUUGCUGUAGACUGGGUGAACUGUUCACUGUCCACGAGAUGGAGGCUUAAUCAAAGUUGUAGCCAACAUCAGUGGACAUGAUGUUGACGAGUGCAAACUGCCAGUGACCAGAAAUAUGUGUAAUGUUUCUGACAACACCCCGUGUGUCUGUUUGUCCCCUGCUGGACCAAUCAUCUUCAGAAAGAGGAUGGCAAAGGCUGGCAACAUGACCUACUUGUGGCUUCAUCAAGGGAAGGUGAUGAAAGAAAGGGUUUUAAUUGUUUCUUCAGACAACCCAGAUCCUGAUGGUGAAGCCUUCGUGCCUGCAGUGAACUCCACUCACGACCCUCUCUAUCGUCAAGUUUUGAUGGGCGGCGUUAUCGCUUGUUCUGUUAUUGUCGUCGUCAGCAUCAUUGGUGGUGUCAUCGUCUGUUACAGACUAGGUAUGAUCCGUCGGCGUCCACAAGCAGGAGGGCGUCGCCAGAACUCGGCGAAAGGUUUUUUGACUGAUGGAUGGGAGUCAGACAGACCGCAGUCUGAGGGACUGUAUGACGACCUGUACUGCUCAACAAAACUCUAAUAGCAAUACAAGUAAUUUUUUCGUGAAGAGUCAGUAGUGGCUUCAGUGGAUUCCUUCCUUCAUUGCAUCCUGAGACUAGCGAGGUGUUUAUCGUGACCAGUCACGUGGCCAGAACUGAUGGAGGGCAGCAGACGCGAACUGACGCCGGCAGGACAGUCUUCAUCCUGCCUGAGAAUGGUGUGGCUCAUCGGCAUCAGUCACGUGUUGUAGCACGCGAGCGAUGACGUUUGUCUCGAUGCCUGACUUGAACUGUGAUUUAGAGUGAUCUGAGAUUUCCUAGUCUUAUGUUGUUCAAGAGAUCACCCCAGCUGACAAGAAAUUGUUUAUUUACAUAUUUCAUCGAUUGAUUGUUUUCCUAGUUUGAUGUUUGACCGCGUGUGUACUUGUCUGUUGUGUUCUUGUCUGUCA